rnacentral:rRNA from 1 species
UACGGAGGGUGCUAGCGUUGUUCGGAAUUACUGGGCGUAAAGCGCGUGUAGGCGGCCCGGUAAGUCCGCUGUGAAAGUCCAGGGCUCAACCCUGGGAUGCCGGUCGAUACUGCCGGACUAGAGUUCGGAAGAGGCGAGUGGAAUUCCCGGUGUAGCGGUGAAAUGCGCAGAUAUCGGGAGGAACACCUAUGGCGAAGGCAGCUCGCUGGGACGUUACUGACGCUGAGACGCGAAAGCGUGGGGAGCAAACAGG